UACAACUAUAGAGCAAGCUGCAGCGGUAUAGCUUAGGUUACAAGCGUGAAUCGUAAUUAUUUGGCGGAAAGCGUGCGCAUGCGGUUAUAUAAGACAGGUGUGAAAUCCCCGGGCUCAACCUGGGAACUGCAGUUGUGACUGUAUAGCUAGAGUACGGCAGAGGGGGAUGGAAUUCCGCGUGUAGCAGUGAAAUGCGUAGAUAUGCGGAGGAACACCGAUGGCGAAGGCAAUCCCCUGGGCCUGUACUGACGCUCAUGCACGAAAGCGUGGGGAGCAAACAGGAUUAGAUACCCCAGUAGUC
rnacentral:rRNA from 1 species